GACAGAGAGUACAGGCGUUAUUCGUUAUUACUGGGUGUAAAGGGUACGUAGCGGCCUGUGUAGUAUCAGAUUUAAAGAGCGGGGUGAUCCCACGUUGUGGUCUGGUAUCAGCAUGCUUGAGUUAAGUAGAGGUUGGGGCAAAUCCCUGGGUAAGGAAUAAUAUCUAGACAGCCAGGGAUGAACAAUAGCUGGCGAAGGCGCUUUUUCUGGACUUAACUGACGCUGAGGUACGGAAGCUUAGGGAGCAAACGGG
rnacentral:rRNA from 1 species